UGACGGUUCCCUCCGCCUGCCGCGAAGGGAUCAAAAGGGAACGCCUGUGCAAGUCAGGGACUAUCCCCGUAGCUGUAACUUCCACGCAAAAGCCGCGCAAUCUCCAGCCACUGCCGCCAGCGGGCGGCGGGAAGGCGUGCCGGCCGGAAGGAGUCAGAAGACCUGCCGUCGUCG
rnacentral:ncRNA from 1 species